AGUGGAAUUGCUGGAUCAUAUGGUAGUUCUGUUUUUAAUUUUUUCAGGAAGACCCAUACUUUUUUCCAUAAUGACUGUACUAAUUUACAUUCCUACCAACAAU
rnacentral:pre_miRNA from 1 species